UCUUAUGGAUGAGAAAGAAAGUGGUUUUGAGAGAUAGAACCUACUCCUGGUAAAGAUGCUGUGAA
rnacentral:pre_miRNA from 1 species